UACUUUCUCAUCUCUCCUGAACAUUCGUACAUUUUCUUCUAAUUUCUUCUGCAUCUUUGUGGUCUUCCCUAAAUUUCUCUCAUACCUUUUCUAUUUUGGGUAUUUCUUCAAAGAUUCUCCCUUUUGGCUAAUUUUUUAUCGUUUCGGUUCGAAGUUCUGGCAAGUUUUUUGUCUAAUUAAUCUUUUUUAUUGCACUUGUUUGGUGGUAGAUUUUGCUAGAUUUACAUAUGUCAAUAACUUUAUCUAACCGGAACAUGCAUAUCUUUUAAUAUUUAUUCAUUUCAGAGACUACGAUUCUCUUUCUCCUUCAGUGCUUUCAAGCAUCAAAUUAUUCGCUAGAAGAUUAAGUUUUGACAAUACGAUGUCUUGCAGCAUGGAGAUCAUAACUCUUGGGAAUAAAAGGAUAGGCAUGAAAACAAGUGUCCUAGAGGAAAAGGAGACAACUUGUUAUAUGCUUUGAUUUGCUGCUAUGCUGCAUUGCUAAUGACUUGAAGGAAAGUUUCUACUCAUGAAUCAACCAGACUGAUAUUUAAUUUUUCCGUAUUUCAUAUGUGCUAUUGAGUGAAUCUCUUUUCUGAUGAGGAGUUAAGACAAGUGAUGUUAAUGCUUGAAAAAGGUGGUCCGACAUUAGUUCCACUUCUGAUAUUUUGUUUUUUUAUAACUUUUUCAAUUAUGAUUAUGACAUUGUGUAGUGGUUUAAAA